rnacentral:lncRNA from 1 species
UCGGGUUUGGGGAAAUCUGGAUUAGGGGAAAUUUUAGGGAUUUGGGGGAGAAUAGGAUUUUGGGGGAUAAGUCACGAUAGUUGGGGAUUUGGGGGAGAAUGGGAAUUUUGGGAUAAGUUUCGGUAAUAUGUAUGAGAAAAAAACGACGACGUUUUUUUAUGAAAAUGAAAUCAUUUGCGGCACUUAUAAAUAAGCGCCACUAAUAUCAGUACAAACGCAGCCGUUUUACACACAUUAAGCUAAAACUUGUGGCGCUUAGAGCAAAAA